rnacentral:rRNA from 1 species
GUGCCAGCCGCCGCGGUAAGACGAAGGUGACGACCGUUGCUCGGAAUCACUGGGCAUAAAGCGCGCGUAGGUGGCUAGGUCAGUCCAUGGUGAAACCCCUCGGCUCAACCGAGGAAGUGCCGUGGAUACUGCCUGGCUUGAGGACGGGAGGGGUGAGUGGAACUCUCGGUGUAGCGGUGAAAUGCGUAGAUAUCGAGAGGAACGCCGGUGGCGAAAGCGACUCACUGGACCGGAACUGACACUGAUGCGCGAGAGCUAGGGGAGCAAACAGGAUUAGAUACCCCCGUAGUCC